UAUUUAUUAGUUUAAUUUAAAACAUUAUAUUUUCAAUAUAAAAAUAAAAAUUUUUUAUAAAUAA